CUGAAUGGGAAAUUAGUCUUCAUGUGGUGUUUUUAGGCAGCACUGUCAAUCUUUAAUGACAUGGUUGUGGCCUGCUAAUCGAGACUGGAGAAGGGUAACUCUUGACAACAAAAAUUGUUUCGCUUGUAAAGUUCCCCUCUUGCAAAAUGUGGGAUGUGUUUUGAUAUAUAAGAUGAAAUUUGAAAAUAGUGUGAUGGACAUUUGCAGAAUUUCUUGAAGAUUUUUGUCACCCUAGCCUACUUUUGAGGUGGCGAAGAUCCUUGACCAUGACCAUGAAAAUCUGUAUGCCUAGACACCAAUAUUUAUAGGCGGUUAUUUGCCUUGUUGAAACAGUUAUUUUUAUCCAGUCGACCAUACUUUUCUUUCAAUGAGAACCGAGGAAAUUUCAAAUUUGUGCUACGAUACCUGGAGUUAUAUAUUUAAAGGACAUAGACGUAUCAUGACAUCUAGGCCUAUUUUCAAGUGAACCAAGAUCUACUUUCAACUUUACACACAGACUGCAUACCGUUAUAGCCUUCAUAAAGAAGUUACAUGAUUCUAACAUAGAAUUACAGAAGGCAGAGGUUAUAUUAUACAAGAGAUCAAAAAGAUCUAAAUAUUCAUGUACCAAACCAUCAAUAUUGACAAUAAAUCCUAAUGCAUGUAAAUUAUUAAUUACUUAUCUUUGUGAACUUUGAUUUAUGCUAUUGGGCCACGAUUACCUAGCAAUGGGGAAACUGGCCUAUUUGUGCACAAUGUCAUUGAUUUAGAGAAAGGACCCACUUGCAUAAAAGCACAUGGCAAUGAA